GUCCUGAGAUGUGAAAUACGGUGGUUGGAUGAGAACACAGUGCGCUUUGAGCUCUGUAUCACAGCUCGUGGAAAUGCCAGAGUGGGGGCUUUUCACUCAGGAGGGCGGUGUGGAUGCAAAGGGAAAACCUCUUUCCCUCACAAUGGACCUGGAACCAGUGUCCUUCAUCAGUCUUCUUAAAGUAGGUCAUUUCAGUGUAACCCUAUUAAUAAUAAUAACAAUGAAGAUUCCUUUUCCCCAGAUGGGCAGCAACAGUUCAGAAAAGCUGCUUCUCAGAGGGAAGAGUCAAGUCAGUAAUAAGAGGACCUCCUUUAAGAGGGUGAUGCUUCUUUUAGGGAGAAGAGGGUUAAAUGUAGUGUCAGGAAUAUCCGUUCCUUCGUAUCCGCAGUGUUUUUGAGGAUGGUUUGUGUCUUUCUCUGUUCUAUAAGGAAUCACAGUGAGAGACACGGAGGUCGUGCCCUCGUGGGCUUUGCAGUGGGCCAUGUCGUGAGUGUGGCAGAGUGUGAUGGGGGUGUUUGGCUACCAGCUGGAAGGGGAUUUAUGGGUUUAAAAUCGCAAGAGAAUCACAUUGUGUCGGUAUAUUUAUUACCUGCCACAGUCAGGCACAAAACCCUGCCGUUCCAGGAGUCGGUGCAGAGCGAGUCUGUGUCCCCACGAACCUCGAGACUGCUUGCUGUUCCUGCUGGCUGUUAAGCUGUCACGUUUUCGAGGUGCUCGCCGCCAGCGCCAUGCUCUCCAGGUAGGACACGCCCGCCCGCGGGGCAGGCGCACCUCUGCAGUGGGGCAGCGGGAAGCACCUUCUCGCCUGAACAUGGAGAGAUAAGGCGCCCUCCGGCAGGCAGGCCCGCGUGACCAGGAGCUGUGCCCGCCGAGGCCGUCAAAAUGGAGCGCUCCCGGGAGGCCGAGGCGGAGCUGAGAGGGGGCCGCAGCCCGCCCAGGGCCAGCCGGAGCCCCGAGGCGGACGGGGACAGGGCGCUGAGCUACAGCUGCUGUAUCUGCGGCAAGACCUUCCCCUUCCAGAGCUCACUGUCCCAGCACAUGCGCAAGCACACGGGCGAGAAGCCCUACAAGUGCCCCUAUUGCGACCACCGCGCCGCGCAGAAGGGCAACCUCAAGAUCCACAUCCGCGGGCACCGCGCAGGCACGCUCACCCAGGGCCGCGAGCCUGAGGCGGCCGAGACGCGCGUGUCCGAGGGGCUUGGCGGCUGCACCAGCCCCACCAAGAGCACGUCGGCCUGCAACCGCAUCCUGAACGGCGCCACGCAGGCGGACACCGGCAAGAUCCUGCUGCGCAGCACGCGGAAGGAGGCGGAGGGUGCGGCGGCGGGGCAGUGCGCCUUCUGCGAGAGCAGGUUCGAGCGCAAGAAGGACCUGGCGUGGCACGUGCAGCAGGCGCACAAGCCCUUCACGUGCCGCCUGUGCAGCUACGCCACCCUGCGUGAGGAGGCCCUGCUCAGUCACGUCGAGAAGGAUCACAUCGCGGCGCAGGGGCCUCGCGGAGACGCCUUCGCCGAAAACGGCAAGCCAGAGCUGCCGCCCGGCGAGUUCCCCUGCGAGGUGUGCGGCCAGGCCUUCAGCCAGACCUGGUUCCUGAAGGCGCACAUGAAGAAGCACAGGGGCUCCUUCGACCACGGCUGCCACAUCUGCGGCCGGAGAUUCAAGGAGCCGUGGUUCCUGAAAAACCACAUGAAGGCGCAUGGCCCGAAGGCGGGGAGCAAAAACAGGCCCCGGAGCGAGCUGGAGCCCGUGGCCACCAUCAACGACGUGGUGCAAGAAGAGGUGAUCGUGGCCGGUCUGAGCCUCUACGAAGUCUGCACUAAGUGUGGGAACCUGUUUACGAACCUGGACAGCUUGAACGCGCACAACGCCAUCCACCGCCGGGUGGAGGCCGGCCAACCACGGGCCGCCGUUGGGGAGGGCUCAGCGACUGGCCCUGCCGAUUCCCAGCAGCUCUUCCUUCAGUGCCUGAACCUGCGCCCGGCGGCCGGCACGCCCGCCCGCGGGCAGACUGGGCGGCGCGUGGCCGAGCUGGACCCGGUCAACAGCUACCAGGCCUGGCAGCUGGCCACCCGGGGCAAGGUGGCCGAGCCGGCCGAGUACCUCAAGUACGCGGCGUGGGACGAGGCGCUGGCCGGGGACGUGGCCUUCGACAAGGAGCGACGCGAGUUCAUCCUGGUGAGCCAGGAGAAGCGCAAGCGCGAGCCUGAGCCGGGUGCACAGGGCCCCCCGCGCAAGAGGGUGGGCGCACCCGGGGACCCCGCGCCCGGGCCCCCAGAUCCCCGGCCUGCCGCGCGCCCCAGCCGCCGCGCCGCCGUCCCCGCCGGCCACGGCAAGUCGUCCGAGUGCUUCGAGUGCGGCAAGAUCUUCCGCACGUACCACCAGAUGGUGCUGCACUCGCGGGUGCACCGCCGCGCGCGCCGCGACCGAGAGCGCGGCGGCCCAGGGGACCGUGCGCUGCGCGCCCGCGGCGGCUCCCUCAGCGAGGGCGACUCGGCCUCGCAGCCCAGCAGCCCCGGGUCGGGCUGCGCCGCCGCCGACUCCCCGGGCUCGGGCCUCGCUGAUGAGGCUGCUGAUGAGAGCGGAGAGGAGGUCCCGGCCCAUCCCGGAGCAGGGGCAGAGUCACACCGCUGCUGCUUCCCAGAAGACGUCUCCUUGGCUGCGCUCUCCAACGGAGACCAAAGUCACACACUUGGAAACAGCCCAUCAGGAAGAGUGGCCGGGGAGCUUGGCACAGGGAUCGCGGCCCGCGUGUCCGUGCUUGAAAGCAGCAGCAGGGACGCUCCCAGGAGACCUGAGCCGCCUCGGUGUUCUGUGGACUUGAAGACACCAGCGUGUGGCCCCCAGCAGGAGGGCCCGGGCCCCAGGGACGCGGCUGACCUCCCUUCAUGCCCAGCCCAGGCGGCGGGUCUGCAGCCGCCCUCUGAGAGCCAGGCCACCUACCCCCGGGAGAGGCCGCCCGAUUUGCACACCAAGGAGCACCCCGCGGGGAAGCGGGCACCAGCCCCAGACCUGGUCCCACUGGACCUGAGUGAGCGGUCCUCGCGGGACGAUCCCGGCCGCCGGGAGCUGGCCUCCUCGCUGCAGGCGGCGCUGGCCGUGCACCCGUGUCCCUACUGCAGCCAUAAGACCUACUACCCCGAGGUACUCUGGAUGCACAAGCGUGUCUGGCACCGCGUCAGCGGCCAGGCCAUGGCCCCGCAGUGGACUCAGCCCAACGGCUACAAGAGCAUCAAGAGCAACCUGGUGUUCCUGGCCCGGAGCGGACGCACGGGCCCCCCGCCCGCCCUCGGGGGCAAGGAGUGCCAGCCUCUGCCCAUCGCCCGGUUCACCCGCACCCAGGAGCCGGCGUCCGAGGGCCCCGAGAAGCGCCUGGACCUCCUCAGCAUCUUCAAGACAUACAUCCCGAAGGACCUGGCUUCCCUUUACCAGAGCUGGGGUGCCAGCAGCCCUGUGCUCGAGCGCAGAGGUGAGAGCUGCGGUCCCGCCUGCCCGCCCCAGGACCUCAGGGAGCCCCCCGCAUCCCUGGGACCUCAGGGAGCCCCCGCCUGCCUGCACCCGGGACCUCAGCGGGAGCCCCCCGCCCCACCUGGACCUCAGGGAGCCCCCACCCUCCUGGACCUCAGGGAGCCCCCACCUGCCCACACCCGGGACCUCAGCGGGAGCCCCCCGCCCCACGUGGACCUCAGGGAGCCCCCACCCCCCUGGACCUCAGGGAGCCCCCACCCCCCUGGACCUCAGGGAGCCCCCGCCUGCCCACACCCGGGAUCUCAGGGGGAGCCCCCAGCCCCAGGGACCUCAGGGAGCCCCCCGCAGCCCCGGGACCUCAGCAGGAGCCCCCCGCAUCCCCGGGACCUCAGGGAGCCCCCACCUGCCCGCACCUCCGGGACCUCAGGGAGCCCUCCGCCCCCCCGGGACCUCAGGGGGAGCCCCCCUUGGACCUCAGGGAGCCCCCACCCCCCUGGAACUCAGGGAGCCCCCACCCCCCUGGACCUCAGGGAGUCCCCGCCUGCCCAUACCCAGGACCUCAGGGGGAGCCCCCUGCCCCCGGGACCUCAGGGAGCCCCCCACCCCCUUGGACCUCAGGGAGUCCCCCGUCUGCCUGCCCCUGGGACCUCAGGGAGCCCCCCGCCCCCCCAGGACCUCAGGGAGUCCCCGCCUGCCCGCCCCUGGGACCUCAGGGAGCCCCCCGCACCCCCGGGACCUCAGGGGGAGCCCCCAGCCCCCCCGGACCUCAGGGAGCCCCCUGUUUGCUCCCACCGGGACCUCAGGGAGCACCCGCCUCCCCCAGGAUCUCACGGUGAGCCCCCCGCCUGGCUGACGACCUCAGGGGAGCCCCCCACCUGCCCUCCCGCUCGGGGACCUCAGGAAGCCCCCCACCCCCUCAGGGAGCCCCUGCCUGCCCACCCCCGGGACCUUAGGGAGUCCCUCACACCCUGA
rnacentral:lncRNA from 1 species